rnacentral:rRNA from 1 species
AUUGAACGCUGGCGGCAGGCCUAACACAUGCAAGUCGAACGGUAGCACAGAGAGCUUGCUCUCGGGUGACGAGUGGCGGACGGGUGAGUAACGUCUGGGAAACUGCCCGAUGGAGGGGGAUAACUACUGGAAACGGUAGCUAAUACCGCAUAACGUCGCAAGACCAAAGUGGGGGACCUUCGGGCCUCACACCAUCGGAUGUGCCCAGAUGGGAUUAGCUAGUAGGUGGGGUAAUGGCUCACCUAGGCGACGAUCCCUAGCUGGUCUGAGAGGAUGACCAGCCACACUGGAACUGAGACACGGUCCAGACUCCUACGGGAGGCAGCAGUGGGGAAUAUUGCACAAUGGGCGCAAGCCUGAUGCAGCCGUGCCGCGUGUAUGAAGAAGGCCUUCGGGUUGUAAAGUACUUUCAGCGGGGAGGAAGGCGGUGAAGUUAAUAGCUUCACCGAUUGACGUUACCCGCAGAAGAAGCACCGGCUAACUCCGUGCCAGCCGCCGCGGAA